GAUACUCGCUUCUUCUCUUAUUGCACUUGUUUGAUUAACAUUUAACAACCUUAACUUAGUUUUUCAUAUAGAAACCUCUAGAGAGAAGAUGAACAAAGAGGAAGCAGCAAUACCACUGCUUCUAACAAGGAGAGAAGAAGAAGAAAAAGAGGUGAACAAGAAUAGUAAUAAUAAUAAUAUUAAUGGGGUAGUGGAGAGUGCAUUGUUUUGGCAAGAGUUAAAGAGGGUAGGUUCCAUGGCUGCUCCAAUGGUGGCUGUGACUGUGUCUCAGUACCUUCUACAAGUUGUGUCUAUGAUGAUGGUUGGCCAUCUUGGUGUACUUGUAACCUUCUCUGGUGUUGCCAUUGCUACUUCUUUUGCUGAAGUUACUGGCUUCAGUAUCCUUAUAGGGAUGGCUGGUGCAUUAGAAACCUUAUGUGGCCAAACCUAUGGUGCUGAAGAAUUCAGAAGUCUUGGAAACUACACUUGUUGUGCAAUUGGUACUCUAACUCUGGUUUGUCUCCCCAUAUCUCUGAUAUGGAUAUUCAUGGACAAGAUACUAUUGCUUUUUGGCCAAGACCCCGCGAUUUCCCUCGUGGCUCGCGAGUACUGUAUAUGCCUGAUCCCGGCUCUGUAUGGCUACGCCGUCCUUCAAGCCAUGACUCGAUACUUCCAGACUCAGAGUAUGAUCUAUCCCAUGGUUUUCAGCUCUGUCGCGGCUCUGUGUUUUCAUGUACCUAUUUGUUGGGGUCUGGUGUUUAAAUUUGGACUAGGACACAUUGGAGCAGCAUUUGCUAUUGCAAUUUCAUAUUGGUUGAAUGCCAUUGGCCUUGUUGUUUACAUGAAGUGUUCAUCAUCAUGUGAGAAAUCCAAGAUUGUGUUUUCUAGUAAUGCUUUAAAAUGCAUUUCUGAGUUCUUGCAAUAUGCUAUCCCUUCUGGACUCAUGUUUUGUUUUGAAUGGUGGUCAUUUGAGCUUCUUACAUUAUUUUCUGGUCUCCUACCUAAUCCUCAACUAGAAACCUCGAUUCUUUCGGUCUGCCUUAACACUACUACAUUGCACUUCUUCAUUCCUUAUGCUGUUGGAGCUUCUGCAAGCACUCGCGUGUCGAAUGAAUUAGGAGCAGGGAAUCCGAAGGCGGCUAAAGGAAUCAUUCGUGUGAUUGUUACAGUUGCAGUUACAGAGGCAGUUAUUGUAAGCAGCUUCUUCAUAUGUUUCAGGAAUGUGUUAGGAAAUGCUUACAGCAAUGACAUGCAAGUUAUAGAAAAUGUUGCAAAAAUGGCUCCUCUUCUUUGUGUUUCUGUUAUUGCUGAUAGUCUAAUAGGAGUUCUUUCUGAUGACUGAUUUGGCGACUAAUUUUUUUGUUAUUUAUUCAAUUGGAGAGAACAUCUUAUUAGCAAUUAAUUUGAAGGGGUUGCAAGAGGUGGAGGAUUUCAACAAAUAGGAGCUUAUGUGAACCUUGGAGGCUAUUAUCUUGUUGGAGCUCCAAUUGCAUUGUUCUUGGGAUUUGGCCUAAAACUCAAUGCUAAGGGACUCUGGAUGGGAACUUUAUCUGGCUCUUGUCUAGUAGUAAUUAUACUUGCUAUUGUAACAGCAUUAACAGAUUGGGAAAAAGAGGCAACAAAAGCAAGAGAGAGAAUAGCAGAGAACUCAAUUAAAGAUGGUGAUGUAUCUGUAUCAUCAGUAUGAGAUCAGAAAUGAAAUACUGAAAUUUUGAUGUCAAUUUUUGGUUUUUGCUAUUUAUUUUUAUUUUUUUGGUAAUUUUUUUUAUGUGACUGGAGAUUGGAGAAGUGUACUCUAAUUAUGUUAACAGAAAAAUGCUAAGCUUUAUCUGUAUAUAUGAAUUUUGGACUGGAAUUGAGCCUGUGCCAGAUUAAUGUAAGCAUGUAACAGAUCCCAGAAUUGAAUU